CCAGUGACAAGUUAAACGGCCGCGGUAUUUUGACCGUGCGAAGGUAGCGCAAUCACUUGUCUUUUAAAUGAAGACCUGUAUGAAUGGUGGAACGAGGGCUUAACUGUCUCCCCUUUCAAGUCAAUGAAAUUGAUCUGCCCGUGCAGAAGCGGACAUACCCCUACAAGACGAGAAGACCCUUUGGAGCUUAAGACACAAGAUCAACUAUGUCAAGAAUCCCAAACAAAUAAAACUAAAUAGCAACUGAUCCCUGUCUUCGGUUGGGGCGACCACGGGAGAAAUAAAGCUCCCAUGCGGACUGGGAUUUUUCCUAAAACCCAGAGAGACAUCUCUAAGUCACAAGAAACUUUCUGACCCACAUAGAUUCCCGGGCCCACACCACCCGAUCAACGGAACCCAGUUACCCCUAGGGGAAUAACAGGCGCAAUUCCCCUUUUCAGAGUCCCAUUAUCGACAAGGGGGUUUACAGAACUCGAUGUUGAAUCAGAACAUCCUAAUGGUGCAACCGCUAUUAAGGGUUCGUUUGUUCAACGAUUAAAGUCCUACGUGA
rnacentral:rRNA from 1 species